UCCAUAUGAUGACUUCAUGAAGUCUCGUUCGUCUGAACUGCUGUGAAGAACACUUAAUAGCAUGGUGGAGUUCUGAUGGAG